UACGUAGGCGGAAAAUUAAGUCAGUAGUGAAAUCCUGCAGCUUAACUGUAGAACUGUUAUUGAUACUGGUUUUCUUGAAUAUAGUUGAGGUAGGCGGAAUGUGUAAUGUAGCGAUGAAAUGCUUAGAUAUUACACAGAACACCGAUUGCGAAGGCAGCUUACUAAGCUAUGAUUGACGCUGAGGUACGAAAGCGUGGGGAGCGAACAGGAUUAGAUACCCUGGUAGUC
rnacentral:rRNA from 1 species